rnacentral:rRNA from 1 species
UACGUAGGGUGCGAGCGUUAAUCGGAAUUACUGGGCGUAAAGCGUGCGCAGGCGGUUUUGUAAGCCAGAUGUGAAAUCCCCGGGCUUAACCUGGGAAUGGCAUUUGGGACUGCAAGGCUCGAGUGCGGCAGAGGAGACUGGAAUUCCUGGUGUAGCAGUGAAAUGCGUAGAUAUCAGGAGGAACAUCAGUGGCGAAAGCGACUUCCUGGACCAAUACUGACGCUCAUGUGCGAAAGCGUGGGGAGCAAACAGG